rnacentral:lncRNA from 1 species
UCUGUCUUCUUCUUCAUUAAAUAAAAAAAGAGGUUAAAAUUAUGUUAUUUAUAUUUUAAAAAAUAAAAUAGGAAAAAUAAAAUGGAGAGAGAGAAAACUAAAAUGAAAGUGGGAAAAAGAAAUGUGAGGGAGAUUUGAAAUUUGAAUUAAGAGAAGAAAAGGAAGAGUGGGAAAUGAAAGGGGUGACAAAAUGAGGUAGUUUUAAUUUUUUUUAGCAUUUGUGAAAUACAAAUAUGCAUUUUGUUAGU